GGUCGUUAUCUUGCAUCAACAUCAACCACAGCACUUGUGACAGCACCACUGACAGCAUUAGCUGUUGCAAACUUAACCACAAACCAACAUAAACACAAACACAUCAACAUAACAUCAGAGUAUAAUUUUCUUGUCUCGAAGUAUGAGUAAUGUGAAUUGUUGUCGUAUGGAAACGGUAUCGGAUUUCAAAUCUACUUUGGAAGCAUUUCAUUCAUUCCGUAAAAAAUCUAGGAGAUGUUGUGAUCAAUAUUUCAUUAAGAGAAUAUACAGGAACGUUAUUUUUUUAUUUUGAGCUGCUGGAGAAUAUGUGCCUGCUACAACUAUUUGUUGGAGACGAGUUAAAAAUAGGAAUCCCAUGUGGUCAAAUUGUUAGUUGUAAUGUAACAGGGACUACAGCCCUGCUCCAGUUUAAAGAGGAUUUUUUCAUAGAAAAAUGCACUAUACACUUUUAUGGGAAGGACCAAGUAUGUAUGUUUGAAAAGAAAUUCCCCAAAAUUAAAAGACCGGAACCUGAACUCCACCAAGAAGUAUCAUCUGAUUCUCAUUUUAAUGACUCGGGAACCGAAAAAAUAAACAACUUAUUGAAUAACUCCUUCAGUUCUUCCGAAGUAGCAGCACAUGAUGAUAUGGAAUGAAACAACAGGAUAUGAAUAAAUGCUUUCAUGCAAUUAUUGUCUCAUAUAUAUUAAUAAAUUCUUUGUUUAUUUUGUC